rnacentral:rRNA from 1 species
AGUGAACGCUGGCGGUAGGCCUAACACAUGCAAGUCGAACGGCAGCACAGUAAGAGCUUGCUCUUACGGGUGGCGAGUGGCGGACGGGUGAGGAAUAUAUCGGAAUCUACUUUUUCGUGGGGGAUAACGUAGGGAAACUUACGCUAAUACCGCAUACGACCUACGGGUGAAAGCAGGGGAACUUCGGACCUUGCGCGAUUGAAUGAGCCGAUGUCGGAUUAGCUAGUUGGCGGGGUAAAGGCCCAACAAGGCGACGAUCCGCAGCUGGUCUGAGAGGAUGAUCAGCCACACUGGAACUGAGACACGGUCCAGACUCCUACGGGGGGCAGCAGUGGGGAAUAUUGGACAAUGGGCGCAAGCCUGAUCCAGCCAUACCGCGUGGGUGAAGAAGGCCUUCGGGUUGUAAAGCCCUUUUGUUGGGAAAGAAAAGCAGCAGGUUAAUACCCCGCUGUUCUGACGGUACCCAAAGAAUAAGCACCGGCUAACUUCGUG